AUCUUGUUUUCAACAUUUUUUUGAAACUUGUAAGUUCAUUUUAGUCCUGCUAAUUUUUUUUCUUGAAAGGACGUAGUAAAAUCUUUUCGCAAUGGUUUUGUUUAAUAAAUCACUGGCAAUUUCUUUUUUUUUCUUUUAAGACAGGGUGGAUUUUUAAAAGGAAUUUGGCUCUCGAGAUGAAAUCAAAGGCCUUUAAAACAAAACUGAGCCAAAAUCUUUGGUUUGAAACCCACUUUGUUGAUGAAAAAGCAAGACUGUUUUUUUUGGAAGAGGUUUUGUCAUACCUUUUGCAAGAUGAUUGUUUUUAAAUCAUUUCAUAGAUAGCUGUUGAUGCAAAAGCUGAUCUGCAAACACAAAGGGCUAAUAUCUGAUUCAAACGUUAAGGCGUGCCAGCCGAUUUGACCUUACAAUCGACAAAGGUGGUAACUCGAACACUUUGGUCCCGACAACAGCGAUGCGCCCGGAUGUCACGGCCAAGAGGUGCUCACGCGGAACUUUGAGAACACGCCAAGUUUGACUUGAUGAAUUCCUAAGAACUCAUAGUAAAAAGAAAAUAUGACGAAGUCAUCGAAAAGUAGAUGGUAGAAUAUGUGUAAAAACUUGUGUUUGAUUGAUUGAUAGAUAUUUCAUUACAUUGC
rnacentral:lncRNA from 1 species